UUUCUUUUUUUUUUCCUCCCCUUCAUUCAUAUGAUUUAUAUUCUUUUCCCUCGUAUUAAUAUUCAAACAAAGCAUUAGUUUUCUCCCCCUUACCCCACUCCACCCUCACCGGCUCACCCUAACCUGGGGAAACCUUCUCCUGCUGGCAGAUAGAAUAAUCAGGCACAAGAACACAAGACUUCAGAGACUGAAUUAUGGACCUGUAUUGCAAAUGGAAGGGGGGGAGGGGGAGAGGAGAAUUUAACCUUUAAAA
rnacentral:misc_RNA from 1 species